GAUGAACGCUGGCGGCGUGCCUAAUACAUGCAAAUCGAGCGAACAGACGAGGAGCUUGCUCCUCUGACGUUAGCGGCGGACGGGUGAGUAACACGUGGAUAACCUACCUAUAAGACUGGGAUAACUUCGGGAAACCGGAGCUAAUACCGGAUAAUAUAUUGAACCGCAUGGUUCAAUAGUGAAAGACGGUUUUGCUGUCACUUAUAGAUGGAUCCGCGCCGCAUUAGCUAGUUGGUAAGGUAACGGCUUACCAAGGCAACGAUGCGUAGCCGACCUGAGAGGGUGAUCGGCCACACUGGAACUGAGACACGGUCCAGACUCCUACGGGAGGCAGCAGUAGGGAAUCUUCCGCAAUGGGCGAAAGCCUGACGGAGCAACGCCGCGUGAGUGAUGAAGGUCUUCGGAUCGUAAAACUCUGUUAUUAGGGAAGAACAAAUGUGUAAGUAACUAUGCACGUCUUGACGGUACCUAAUCAGAAAGCCACGGCUAACUACGU
rnacentral:rRNA from 1 species